rnacentral:rRNA from 1 species
CCACGAGAAUUUAGCAGAGAUGCUUUAGUGCCUUCGGGAACUCUGAGACAGGUGCUGCAUGGCUGUCGUCAGCUCGUGUUGUGAAAUGUUGGGUUAAGUCCCGCAACGAGCGCAACCCUUAUCCUUUGUUGCCAGCACGUAAUGGUGGGAACUCAAAGGAGACUGCCGGUGAUAAACCGGAGGAAGGUGGGGAUGACGUCAAGUCAUCAUGGCCCUUACGAGUAGGGCUACACACGUGCUACAAUGGCGCAUACAAAGAGAAGCGACCUCGCGAGAGCAAGCGGACCUCAUAAAGUGCGUCGUAGUCCGGAUUGGAGUCUGCAACUCGACUCCAUGAAGUCGGAAUCGCUAGUAAUCGUAAAUCAGAAUGUUACGGUGAAUACGUUCCCGGGCCUUGUACACACCGCCCGUCACACCAUGGGAGUGGGUUGCAAAAGAAGUAGAUAGCUUAACCUUCGGGAGGGCGUUUACCACUUUGUGAUUCAUGACUGGGGUGAAGUCGUAACAAGGUAAGCGUAGUGCU